rnacentral:tRNA from 3 species
GCCCGGGUGGCGAAAUUGGUAGACGCACUAGCUUCAGGUGCUAGCGCCUUCACGGGCGUGCUGGUUCGAGUCCAGUCCCGGGCA